rnacentral:rRNA from 1 species
AUACGUAGGGGGCGAGCGUUGUCCGGAAUCAUUGGGCGUAAAGGGCGCGCAGGCGGCCGUCCAAGUCCGGUGUUAAAUGGUCGGGCUCAACCCGAUCAUGCGCUGGAAACUGGGCGGCUGGCGUCCCGGAGGGGAUGCCGGAAUUCCAGGUGUAGGGGUGAAAUCUGUAGAUAUCUGGAAGAACACCGAUGGCGAAGGCAGGCAUCUGGCCGGAGACUGACGCUGAGGCGCGAAGGCGCGGGGAGCGAACAGGUUUAGAUACCCUGGUAGUCCGCGCAGUAAACGAUGCGCACCAGGUGUCGGGCGGCAGCGCCCGGUACCGGAGCAAACGCGAUGAGUGCGCCGCCUGGGGAGUAUGCCCGCAAGGGUGAAACUCAAAGGAAUUGACGGGG